rnacentral:rRNA from 1 species
ACGGGUGAGUAAUACAUCGGAACGUGCCCAGUUGUGGGGGAUAGCCCGGCGAAAGCCGGAUUAAUACCGCAUACGACCUACGGGUGAAAGCGGGGGAUCGCAAGACCUCGCGCAAUUGGAGCGGCCGAUGGCAGAUUAGCUUGUUGGUGGGGUAAAAGCCUACCAAGGCGACGAUCUGUAGCUGGUCUGAGAGGACGACCAGCCACACUGGGACUGAGACACGGCCCAGACUCCUACGGGAGGCAGCAGUGGGGAAUUUUGGACAAUGGGCGCAAGCCUGAUCCAGCCAUGCCGCGUGUGGGAAGAAGGCCUUCGGGUUGUAAACCACUUUUGUCAGGGAAGAAACGGUCUAAUCUAAUAAAUUGGACUAAUGACGGUACCUGAAGAAUAAGCACCGGCUAACUACGUGCCAGCAGCCGCGGUAAUACGUAGGGUGCAAGCGUUAAUCGGAAUUACUGGGCGUAAAGCGUGCGCAGGCGGCUAUGCAAGACAGAUGUGAAAUCCCCGGGCUCAACCUGGGAACUGCAUUUGUGACUGCAUGGCUAGAGUACGGCAGAGGGGGAUGGAAUUCCGCGUGUAGCA